GUGAGUGAACUGUUGCGCUGAAGUCGCUCUUCAGCGGGAUUUCUUCUCCGUCAUAAGUCUGCAAAACUCAUUUGCCGGAAUAUGUGAUUUCACUUCAAGGAACGCGACGACACUUUGCACCGUAGGCGAACACUAUUGUUCUUAAAACAAAACAAAGAAAUUGGGGAAAAAACGAAAAACCUUCGUGCGUAUUUUGGCACAGAGUCCUGGCGAGAGAGAGAGAGACAGGGAGACAGACAGUGAGGGAGAGAGCUGUCCUGUCACACACUGAGUCCUGAAUGAGAGUCAGAGUCGAAAAAUGAGUGUGACUUACCGCGGCGCAACUUCUCUGGAAGGUGGAAGCGCUCCGUCAGUCUGAGGAGAAUUUCUCUAUUUAUUUAUUUAUUUAUUUAUUAUUCGUUUUUCUCUUGGAGCAGUUUUCCUGCAGCGUUUCCUUCCACCCUCACCCGCGGCACGAGAACACCGGCUAAAGAAAAGGGAAAAGACAGAGAUUGCAGGAGAUUGGCUGAUUUGCUGUUAUGGUGUAAACAAAAAAAGGACAGGAAAAAAAAAUGUUUUCUCAAUUUUCCAUAUUCAGUGCACUCUGGCCUGCUCUGUCCUCAGAGUUUGGCUCAUUAUGACCUGUAAAUAACUGUACUUUGAACGGAGGAGUUGAUGGCUGAGUUGAGUCAAAUUUAAACAGUGGACAAACAGGGAGAGAGCUGAGUGCUCAUCAACAAAAACACAGAAACAAGAGCUGAGUUUUAGCCGUUUUCUCAUUCCUCUCAUCACAUUCGUGGACACUUCCUUCCUUCCUUGUAUGUAGUGGGUGAGAUGAACUCCAGUGGGAAUACUGUUGACCCCACCUGACAGUUCUCUGCUUGAGCAACUCAAAGCUUUUUACUGGAGCUUCCACAAUCACGGAGCUGGAUU